ACUUUCAACAACGGAUCUCUUGGCUCUCGCAUCGAUGAAGAACGUGGCGAAGUGCGAUAAGUAAUGUGAAUUGCAGAAUUCCGUGAAUCAUCGAAUCUUUGAACGCAAAUUGCACUCUCUGGUAACCCGGGGAGUAUGCCUGUUUGAGGGUCAGUGU
rnacentral:rRNA from 1 species